rnacentral:snRNA from 1 species
GUGCUUGCUUUGGCAAAACAUAUACUAAAGUUGAAACGAGAUAGAGAAGAUUAGCAUGGUAACUGCACAAGGGUGACAUGCAAAUUCAUGAAGUGUUCCAUAUUUAU